rnacentral:rRNA from 1 species
UUUAUCGGAGAGUUUGAUCCUGGCUCAGGACGAACGCUGGCGGCGUGCCUAAUACAUGCAAGUCGAGCGGACAGAUGGGAGCUUGCUCCCUGAUGUUAGCGGCGGACGGGUGAGUAACACGUGGGUAACCUGCCUGUAAGACUGGGAUAACUCCGGGAAACCGGGGCUAAUACCGGAUGCUUGUUUGAACCGCAUGGUUCAGACAUAAAAGGUGGCUUCGGCUACCACUUACAGAUGGACCCGCGGCGCAUUAGCUAGUUGGUGAGGUAACGGCUCACCAAGGCGACGAUGCGUAGCCGACCUGAGAGGGUGAUCGGCCACACUGGGACUGAGACACGGCCCAGACUCCUACGGGAGGCAGCAGUAGGGAAUCUUCCGCAAUGGACGAAAGUCUGACGGAGCAACGCCGCGUGAGUGAUGAAGGUUUUCGGAUCGUAAAGCUCUGUUGUUAGGGAAGAACAAGUGCCGUUCAAAUAGGGCGGCACCUUGACGGUACCUAACCAGAAAGCCACGGCUAACUACGUGCCAGCAGCCGCGGUAAUACGUAGGUGGCAAGCGUUGUCCGGAAUUAUUGGGCGUAAAGGGCUCGCAGGCGGUUUCUUAAGUCUGAUGUGAA